rnacentral:lncRNA from 1 species
GCAUCUUCACCCUUUCAAUUCUCCACUCCAGUUCUCACUCUCCUAUUAUCAUCGCCGUCGUUACGAAAAUCCCCUUGUCUUCCUUUCCAUCCUUCAUUAUUCUCGCCGCCCCUUACUCAGAAGACCCUCACUUUCUCGACUGGGACUAGAGCCGUUUCGGGUUCCGGAAAAUCCCCUGGUCUUCCUUUCCAUCCUUCAUUAUUCUCGCCGCCCCUUACUCAGAAGACACUCACUUUCUCGACUGGGACUAGAGCCGUUUCGGGGUCCGGGAAGUUCUGUUGGAGAGCCAAGGCGUCGAUGUCCGGGACCACCAUGGAGAAAGGGAAAGGGAAAGUCGAAGUUUUUGAUUCCAAGGAGAAUCUUUCGGUUUCGCUCG